rnacentral:rRNA from 1 species
AGAGUUUGAUUAUGGCUCAGGAUGAACGCUAGCGGGAGGCCUAACACAUGCAAGCCGAGCGGUAUUGUUUCUUCGGAAAUGAGAGAGCGGCGUACGGGUGCGGAACACGUGUGCAACCUGCCUUUAUCUGGGGGAUAGCCUUUCGAAAGGAAGAUUAAUACUCCAUAAUAUAUUGAACGGCAUCGUUUAAUAUUGAAAGCUCCGGCGGAUAGAGAUGGGCACGCGCAAGAUUAGCUAGUUGGUGAGGUAACGGCUCACCAAGGCGAUGAUCUUUAGGGGGCCUGAGAGGGUGAUCCCCCACACUGGUACUGAGACACGGACCAGACUCCUACGGGAGGCAGCAGUGAGGAAUAUUGGUCAAUGGGUGCAAGCCUGAACCAGCCAUCCCGCGUGAAGGACGACUGCCCUAUGGGUUG